UACACACCGCCCGUCACGUCAUGGGAGUGGAUUGCACCAGAAGCGGGGAGCUUAACUGAAAAGGGGGCCCUUGCCACGGUAUGGUUCAUGACUGGGACG
rnacentral:rRNA from 1 species